rnacentral:rRNA from 1 species
UGGGGAAUAUUGCACAAUGGGCGCAAGCCUGAUGCAGCCAUGCCGCGUGUAUGAAGAAGGCCUUCGGGUUGUAAAGUACUUUCAGCGGGGAGGAAGGUGUUGUGGUUAAUAACCACAGCAAUUGACGUUACCCGCAGAAGAAGCACCAGCUAACUCCGUGCCAGCAGCCGCGGUAAUACGGAGGGUGCAAGCGUUAAUCGGAAUUACUGGGCGUAAAGCGCACGCAGGCGGUCUGUCAAGUCGGAUGUGAAAUCCCCGGGCUCAACCUGGGAACUGCAUCCGAAACUGGCAGGCUUGAGUCUUGUAGAGGGGGGUAGAAUUCCAGGUGUAGCGGUGAAAUGCGUAGAGAUCUGGAGGAAUACCGGUGGCGAAGGCGGCCCCCUGGACAAAGACUGACGCUCAGGUGCGAAAGCGUGGGGAGCAAACA